GAAGAUGCUAAAAUAGAAGCAUACUACAAUGGAUCAGGAACAGUGCUUGAGAUAUUGGUGCCAAAAGUUCGCGAGGGGCCGGAAGAAGAGCAUGAAGUUCGGGUAUGUCUCCGUCCUCACCUUGUGGGAAAUGACCUCAUGUUGACCUAAACUCUUACUCGGAGAUAUGCAUGGGUGGUUGUUAGAGCCGGUGCUUCAUUGGACGCUGACUUUAUAUUAUCUAUAUUGUGGUUUUUGACCUAAACGCUUUCUCGGAAAUAUGCAUGGGUGGUUAUUAAGGCCGGUUCUUCGUUGGACGCUGACUUUAUAUUAUCUAUAUUGUGGUGUUAUGGAACUGAAUAUGAUCUUGUGUUCCAUUUUCACACACUAAAUGUUGUGUUUGGUAGUCUUUUUUCAGCUAGUUUUUGUGUAACAGUGUUUGCUAUGAAAUUUCACUCCUUGGUUUAUUAGCAUAGUAAUUGAUUUUGUGUUAUCUAUUAAAAUUCAUAGCUUCUCAUGCUUAGCAUGGUAAUUCGGUUAGCUAACAAAAGAAGCAUUUGGUUCUCUUCUGAAGAAUGUUAAAUGUGAAUCUGUUUGUGUUGUGAAUUUUUCAAAAUAAAAUUGAGGCCACAGAAAUAAAGUCAACUUAUCUUGGAUAGCUUGUAAGCUUUAGAUGAGGAAUUUUGGACUUAUUUUCCUUUUGUAUGGAUGCUCAAGAAAGCAAAUUUCAGUAAAUAAUCUCCUCCCCUAAGCCAAACAUGAUGUCUAGAAAGAGAUUUGAGACGGGCUGAUGUUGUGUAUGGUUUUUGAAGAAAAGGAUGGUAACGUAAUCACCA
rnacentral:lncRNA from 1 species